CCCUAUGGUGGAGGAUAACCCCGGGAAACUGGGGAUAAUACUCCAUAAGUCAGGAGUACUGGAAUGUCUCCUAACUGAAAGUUGCGGCGCCAUAGGAUGAAUCUGCGGCCGAUUAGGUAGUUGUUGGGGUAACGGCCCAACAAGCUUGUAUUCGGUACGGGUUGUGGGAGCAAGAGCCCGGAGAUGGAAUCUGAGACACGAUUCCAGGCCCUUUUUUGGCGCAGCAGGCGCGAAAACUUUACAAUGCAGGAAACUGUUUUUAUGGAACCCCGAGUGCCCGUAAACCCGGGCUGUCCCGGUGUUUAAAACACAUCGGAAGAAAGGGCCGGGCAAGACCGGUGCCAGCCGCCGCGGUAAUACCGGCGGCUCGAGUGGCGACCACUUUUAUUGGGCUUAAAGCGUUCGUAGCUUGAUUUUUAAGUCUCUUGGGAAAUCUCACGGCUUAACUGUGAGGCGUCUAAGAGAUACUGGGAAUCUAGGGACCGGGAGAGGUAAGAGGUACUUUCAAGGGUAGAAGUGAAUUCUGUAAUCCUUGAGGGGCCACGAUGGCGAGCAUCUACCAGACGCUUCGACAGUGAGACGAAGCUGGGGAGCGACGG
rnacentral:rRNA from 1 species